rnacentral:rRNA from 1 species
AACGAACGCUGGCGGCAUGCCUAACACAUGCAAGUCGAACGAGACCUUCGGGUUUAGUGGCGCACGGGUGCGUAACGCGUGGGAUCAUGCCCUUAGGUUCGGACUAACUCCCCGAAAGGGGUGCUAAUAACGGAUAAUGUCAUCGGAUCAAAGAUUUAUCGCCUUUGGAUGGGCUCGCGUUGGUUUAGGUAGUUGGUAGGGUAAAAGCCUACCAAGGCGGCGAUCCAUAGCUGGUCUGAGAGGAUGAUCAGCCACACUGGGACUGGGACACGGCCCAGACUGCUACGGGAGGGAGCAGUGGGGAAUAUUGGACAAUGGGCGAAAGCCUGAUCCAGCAAUGCCGCGUGAGUGAUGAAGGCCUUAGGGUUGUAAAGCUCUUUUACCCGGGAUGAUAAUGACAGUACCGGGAGAAUAGGCUCCGGCUAACUCCGU